rnacentral:rRNA from 1 species
UACGUAGGGUGCGAGCGUUGCCCGGAUUUAUUGGGCGUAAAGGGCGCGUAGGCGGCCACGCACGUCCGUUGUGAAAUCGCCCGGCUCAACUGGGCGGGGUCAGCGGAUACGGUGUGGCUCGAGCAAGCUAGGGGGCAAUGGAAUUCCCGGUGUGAGUGGUGGAAUGCGCAGAUAUCAGGAAGAACACCCGUGGCGAAGGCGGCUCUCUGGGACGGUACUGACGCUGAGACGCGAAAGCGUGGGGAGCGAACAGG